rnacentral:rRNA from 3 species
UAGGCCGGGUGUGUAAGCGCAGCGAUGCGUUGAGCUAACCGGUACUAAUGAACCGUGAGGCUUAACCUUACAACGCCGAAGC